GAUGAACGCUGGCGGCGUGCCUAAUACAUGCAAGUCGAGCGAACGGACGAGAAGCUUGCUUCUCUGAUGUUAGCGGCGGACGGGUGAGUAACACGUGGAUAACCUACCUAUAAGACUGGGAUAACUUCGGGAAACCGGAGCUAAUACCGGAUAAUAUUUUGAACCGCAUGGUUCAAAAGUGAAAGACGGUCUUGCUGUCACUUAUAGAUGGAUCCGCGCUGCAUUAGCUAGUUGGUAAGGUAACGGCUUACCAAGGCAACGAUGCAUAGCCGACCUGAGAGGGUGAUCGGCCACCCUGGAACUGAGACACGGCCCCGACUCCGACGGGAGGCAGCAGUAGGGAAUCUUCCGCGAUGGGCGAAAGCCUGACGGAGCAACGCCGCGGGAGUGAUGAAGGUCUUCGGAUCGGAAAACUCUGUUAUUAGGGAAGAACAUAUGUGUAAGUACCUGUGCACAUCUUGACGGUACCUAAUCAGAAAGCCACGGCUAACUACGUG
rnacentral:rRNA from 1 species